rnacentral:rRNA from 2 species
GACGAACCGUGCGAACGUUAUUCGGAAUCACUGGGCUUAAAGCGCGUGUAGGCGGGACGGCACGUCGGUCGCUGAAAUCCCCCGGCUUAACCGGGGAACUGGCGUCGAUACGACCGUCCUGGAGGGGCGUAGGGGGACCUGGAACUUCCGGUGGAGCGGUGAAAUGCGUUGAGAUCGGAAGGAACGCCCGUGGCGAAAGCGAGGUCCUGGACGCCUACUGACGCUGAGACGCGAAAGCCAGGGGAGCGAACGGG